CCCUUAGAUGUUCUGGGCCGCACGCGCGCUAAACUGACGAAGUCAGCGAGCAUGUCCUACGCCGACAGGUGCGGGGAAUCUUGUCAAACUUCGUCGUGAUGGGGAUUGAUUUUUGAAAUUCUUGAUCAUAAACGAGGAAUUCCUAGUAAGCGCAAGUCAGCAGCUUGCGUUGAUUACGUCCCUGCCCUUUGUACACACCGCCCGUCGCUACUACCGAUUGAAUGGUUUAGUGAGAUCUUCGGAUUGGCGCCACUGCAGCUCAGCAAUGGGCUUGGUGGAUGCCGAAAAGUUGAUCAAACUUGAUCAUUUAGAGGAAGUAAAAGUCGUAACA
rnacentral:rRNA from 1 species